GAUUUCUGGCUUGAAACAUUUGGCCGGCCACGGUUUCGUGUGUUAGUGCUUUGUGUUCUGGCCGUCCUUCCAAUCGCUAUUCACCUUUCUUCAUUGAUUGGUGAGUGGUAUUGGAUCUUUUACUUUGAAAAAAUUAGAGUGUUUCAAGCAGGCUUUAUGCUAUGAAUACAUUAGCAUGGAAUAAUAAUUUAGGACUUUGGUCUUAUUUUGUUGGUUUCUAAGGCUGAAGUAAUGAUUGAUAGGGAUAGUUGGGGGUGCUAGUAUUCCGUGGCCAGAGGUGAAAUUCUUGGAUUCGCUGAAGACUAACUUAUGCGAAAGCAUU
rnacentral:rRNA from 1 species